rnacentral:rRNA from 1 species
GACGAACGCUGGCGGCGUGCCUAAUACAUGCAAGUAGAACGCUGAAGGAGGAGCUUGCUUCUCUGGAUGAGUUGCGAACGGGUGAGUAACGCGUAGGUAACCUGCCUGGUAGCGGGGGAUAACUAUUGGAAACGAUAGCUAAUACCGCAUAAGAGUAGAUGUUGCACGACAUUUACUUAAAAGGUGCAAUUGCAUCACUACCAGAUGGACCUGCGUUGUAUUAGCUAGUUGGUGAGGUAACGGCUCACCAAGGCAACGAUACAUAGCCGACCUGAGAGGGUGAUCGGCCACACUGGGACUGAGACACGGCCCAGACUCCUACGGGAGGCAGCAGUAGGGAAUCUUCGGCAAUGGACGGAAGUCUGACCGAGCAACGCCGCGUGAGUGAAGAAGGUUGUCGGAUCGUAAAGCUCUGUUGUAAGAGAAGAACGAGUGUGAGAGUGGAAAGUUCACACUGUGACGGUAUCUGACCAGAAAGGGACGGCUAACUACGUG